GAUGAAGCGCUGACCAGGGGCUUGGAA
rnacentral:piRNA from 1 species